ACCCGCUGAAUUUAAGCAUAUCAAUAAGCGGAGGAAAAGAAACCAACAGGGAUUGCCUUAGUAACGGCGAGUGAAGCGGCAAAAGCUCAAAUUUGAAAUCGGCCACCAGGUCGAGUUGUAAUUUGUAGAUUGUAUCUUGAGAGCGGAUUAAAGUCUGUUGGAACACAGCGCCUUAGAGGGUGACAGCCCCGUAAAAUCUAUUCUCAUUGUAAGAUACUUUCGAAGAGUCGAGUUGUUUGGGAAUGCAGCUCUAAGUGGGAGGUAAAUUCCUUCUAAAGCUAAAUAUUGACGAGAGACCGAUAGCGAACAAGUACUGUGAAGGAAAGAUGAGAAGCACUUUGAAAAGAGAGUGAAAAAGUACGUGAAAUUGUUAAAAGGGAAGGGUAUUGAAUCAGACUUGGUGCUGUUGUUCAACUGUGUUUCGGCAUAGUGUACUCAGCAGUACUAGGCCAAGGUGGGGUGUUUGGGAGUGAAAAAGAAGUAGGAAGGUAACUCUUCGGAGUGUUAUAGCCUACUUUCAUAGCUCCUCAGGCGCCUCAGGACUGCGCUUCGGCAAGGACCUUGGCAUAAUGAUUCUAUACCGCCCGUCUUGAAACACGGACUAAGGAG
rnacentral:rRNA from 1 species